CCUGCAAUAUUUUUUUUUUUUUAUAAAGAUAAUGAAAAUCCAAAAGAAUUUUAAAACUUGAAAUUCAAAACUUGAAAGCCAUCAUAAAAUAUUUGAAAGAGCACAUUUCAACCCCCUAAACAACAGGAUCGCAUCCAGGUUACAGUAUUGAAAUUAGAAUCCACCACUAAUAUUACACAGCAUUUCUUACCAAAUCAGAUCAUCUUCGAUAAGAGGAAUCACUGUCAACUAUUCCAGCUUUCACCAACCUCAUCAACUUUCCUGAACACUCCUCGACCACUGGAUCCUCAACUCUGUCUCCUCGCCUAGCAUUAGCCUUAUCCACAAUCUCAAUCAAUCAUCUCAACUUUAAGCCUUUCUGAAAUGGUUAGAAAGGAAUAGCAAGGGUGAGCAACAAUGCUCAGCAAGUAAUAAUAAACAAUGAUAGUUCUGAAAUGAUAUAACAGAAGUUCGCGAGUUCAAGAUAUAAGAGGAUUCAACCUGAGUUCAUGAGUUCAUGGUAUUGUAUAGAAGGAUUUACAAUACCUUGCAACAUUUAAACUGAGAAAUUCAAUCUUUCCAAAGAAUUAUUGAAUUGGACUAUCACAUUUUAAUUAAAACCAAGGUUAGGCAGCUGAUCAGUUCCGCACUAACCCCGAGCAGGCCCCGCCAUGCUCUAUCACUGGAUCCAAGGCACUCAUUGGCCUAACAUGACCACGAAUCUGGUCCACAGGUUUAUAUAAAAACAAUAAUCCAAUUCUAUAAUUCAAUAACAGGUCAACGUAUAACAACAAAACAUAAACACAAUCAAUAUCAAUGAUAGAAUAAUUCCAAAUNNNNNNNNNNNNNNNNNNNNNNNNNNNNNNNNNNNNNNNNNNNNNNNNNNNNNNNNNNNNNNNNNNNNNNNNNNNNNNNNNNNNNNNNNNNNNNNNNNNNNNNNNNNNNNNNNNNNNNNNNNNNNNNNNNNNNNNNNNNNNNNNNNNNGCUCGAAACUAUUUUUCAGUAAUUUUUAAAUCAAAAAAAAUAAUUAAAUCCAAUUAAUUAAUCAAUUAAAAUCAAUUAAUAAUUAAUUAAAAUAAUUAAUCAAUUAAUAUUUAAAUUAAUUGACCAAUUAAAAUAAUUAAUUACUAAUUAAAAUUAAUUAAUAAACUAAUUUAGAUUUAUUUUUGAAUAAAGAAAUAAUUAAAAAUUAUUUUUGGAAUUUAAAAUAAUUAAAUAAAACAAUUUUAGAAAAUUAAAUCAAAAGGUUUAUUUUGUAAACUUUUGAAAGUUUUUGUCCAGGGUUUAAAGUGUAACUUUCCAAAAGUUCCAGGGGGUAAUUUGUAAUUUUCAAAACUCGAGUACAAUGACUUCAUCAUCUUCAUAAGUUGGGUGACCAAACGGCACGUUGUCGCCGUUGGCACCCCUGACUCGCCGGAAUCGGCUAAACAGGCCUCGGGCGGCCACCAAACUACGCAUAACUCGACUACCGAUCACCAGGAACCUACACACUUGAUCAGAAUCACCAAUCGUCGCAAAGAAUGGCCGGAAAAUCGAAGCAAAAACCCGCCGGCGAGUUUCUUUCGAAACUCCGGUGACCCCUUUCCGGGAAUCCCACAUAACUUUUGAACAUACCCACAAGUUCCUCUCUUCACGCUCUAUCCAACCAUAUCAACCGAUUGCUCAUGUGAUUAACAGAUAAGAAACGCCCAAAUCUCAAUUGAAAAUAUUCAUAACCCACGAAGAACACUCAAGAACACCUACUCAAGAAUUAAACCACUGUUUCUAUAUGAUUCCGAACUCAAAAUUCAACAUAUAAUAUACCAAAACGACGAGAAAAACAUGCUCUACAACAUGGAAUCAUCAAAACAAUCAAACAAACACGUUUGCAAAAAUUCACUAUUUAAAUCAUAAUAAUUCGAAUUUUAAAACUUCAAUUACUCCCUACCUGUGAAUCUCAUGUUGUUUUUGAUGAUUGAUUUGGGUUCUACUCUUCGAUAUCUUCGAUUUGACUAUUCGCACGCUUGAUUCUGACUCCAAUAACACCUUCAAAUCUUCGUUUGAUUAUGAAGAACACGAAGAACACCGCUCGGUUUCUCUCGGUAUUCGUGCAGAGAAACUGGUGAAAUGAUUUUACGGGUGAAAAUAAGCUCUAGAAAGGUCUAUUUAUAUUUACAAAUAAUUGGUACCCCUUUGGAUCGUUUAUGACAUGAAAAUACGUAUUUAAUAGCUUUAUAUUAAUAAAGCGGGGUCCAAUCGGUACUGGUUUUCGAGAUAAUCAUCAAAACGGGGCUUUUUAACUCAAUUAUUGGUCUGCGGGUCCCAUUGCAAUUAUUACAAGAUAAGGAUGAAUAUAAUAAUCAAAAUAUCUCGUUUCACGCUUAUCGAGACAAACUGGAUAAUUAUCAACAAUUAAAAUACCCGAAAAACUCCGCCGGACCGACUCCGGGGAAAACCGUACUCCGGAUCGAAAAAGUCAAAACACGAAAAGUGUCCGGAAUAUUCAAAUUAGGCUAAAGGUCAGUUUUGUUGAAACUUCCGGGAAGAAAAUUUGCUACCUCGUUACGAGUGGACGGUUUUACGGAAGUCAAAUAAUUAAUAAAUAAAUAUAAAUAUACGCAAUUAAAUCCGUAAAUCGAUUAUAAAAUCAUCUAACAUUCCAUAAAUCGAUAUGAAAAUAUCCAAAUAAACUAUAUUUUCUCCUGAGCAUAUAGAAAUUGAAAUCUCUCAAAUACGAACACAUAUGAGCAGUUAACGCAAUAAACCAGAUAAUAUAAAAUUCACAAAAAUUCAUAUAUUAAUCAUAUAAUACUCAUAAUUAACCAUAAUUAAUUAACCAACAAAUCCACCAAUACCACUUACUCACAUCACACAUAUAUUCACAUAAUAUUCAUACAGAAUUUUCGAAACAAUAUAUGAAAAUCACUUUUGAAAAUACAAUUAUUUAUCAAUAACACAAUAACCCGGGGUUUAAAUAUAAAACCUUGAAAACUCCUUAAACUGGAAUAAAAUAUUAAAUCUUAUUCCUUACUUUUUAAGAAAAUCAUUUAUAAUAUUAAUAAAGAUAUUUUUAAAAUCCGGGUUAUUACAAUCUACCCUCCUUAUAGGGAUUCCGUCCUCGGAAUCAGAGAAAGAAGGAGGACGCAAUAUUUGUAAAAUCCAUAUUAAUCCACAAAACAAGUAUAAUCAUAUAAAACUAUUCACAUAAUCAAUUCACUUUUCAACUAAAGCCAACAAUAAUAUUUAGACAGAUAGAUUUAUAACAAUCAAAUCUAAAUUUAAAAAUAUGGGAUAUUACAUUCUACCCCCCUUAUAAGGAUUCCGUCCUCGGAAUCCUCCGAAGAAACUAAAACGUAUCAUUUAUAAGAUCGUGGUACACGCUUCAUAAUAUCACAUGCUCAUCCGCCUUUAAUUAACUUUGGCAUACCUUCAAAGUUAAAGAAAUAGGAAAAUCAAAGCCUUCACAAUUGCAAACUUCAUUUCCCAAGAAUCAAUCUUUGGGAAUUUCGGAGGAACAAGAUGUUUUCAAAAUAGGUCACAUUGGAAUACAAGAGUGACUGGGAGAUCAAUACGAUCAAAUGAACUUAAUGUUGCGUGUCCAUAUUAGACACUACUAAAGGUUGUUAACCUUCUUGUAAUCACAACACACACAAGUGAUGGCGUCCCAUCCAACUCCUAUCACACAGACAGGUAUACCUUGUGUCCCCUAUAAAUAGGGUUGUUCAUCCCAAUCAAAUUGAAGAAAUGUUAAGGAAUAUCAGAGAAUAUCAAUGAAUAUCAACAAUAUCAAAGAACACUAAGGGAUAUCAAGGUAGAUGAAAGGGUAUCAAGGAAUGUCAAGAAAUGUCAAACAAUAUCAAGGAACAUCACUAUCUCUUUACAACAAACCUUUAUCACACAUCUUUGCUUUCCAACUCAUACCAAUAAUCAAUACCAAUGUCAUCUUAGAAUUUGAGAAAUUGAAGAUCUCAUUUAUCAAAACUUUUGUAGAAAAGAUAUCAUGAUAAUAUCUCACUGAUGAGAAAACAAUCAAAAGAACCUUUAGUUGAAGAGAGGUAUUGCCAAGGUCUUCUCAAAUUCCCACUCUACUUUACGAAAUCGUUAUUCGAUUUAUGUCAUCCUUUCAACGUUCUCGAUAAUCAAUCGAUUUAACUCGUAAUAGCCUCAUAAGAUGUCAUCGUAGACGUUAUCGUUCGUAAUAAGUCUGACCCAAGUAGUUCACGUUCUCAUGCUUCAUCCAGUUGCCUUUGAAGUCCAUAACACCACACGUAGCAUAUCUUCGAUUUUCUGGAUCGUCGCCCUGUGGGUUAUGGGCCCACCUUGUCCCGCUUAACUUAAAACGUCGUCGUGAGAAUUCACAUUCUAAAUUACUCGCAAAUAUCGCUUCUAAUAACCUGAAUCAACUUCACUUACUCUCUAUCAUACACUUCUCAUCUAUCAACCUCUAUAUACAAGUCUCUCCUUCUAAUUCUGUGCAACUCAUAUCUUACACUAACUCUUCAUAUCUCACAAAAACAACAUACCUCUUCCAAAUAUCUAACAUGGUCAACAUACUAUGAACCAUGCAUCUUUAUCCUUCUCAAAUCAAUACCAUAGACCAUUUUCAACUAUGCAGUAUAGUCAGAAUACUCUGAACUCUGCAUUUUCACCAUUCUCAACUCAGUCAUUCACUAUCAACUUUUCUAUCUGGGUCUAAUCUUGACCUUUCUCACAAUUCAUCAUCUCAAUUAGUCAACAUACCAAAAAUCAUAUGUCUAACUUAGGAAUCAAAAUCUCUCCAAACUUAUGCACUCAACUUAAUCAUCUAACUAGAUUCUAUUUCUCUAUCACAUCCCUAGACUAUUUCUAAAUAGUCUCACAAUACCUCUAUCCGAGGUCACCCAACAUUCUUCUCUAGAAAACCUAUAACUAUGAUCUAUAUUCUAAUUUCAAAUACUUAUAACCUGUUGCUCUGAUACCAACUGUGACAGUCCAGGAAUCCGGGGGUCUGGAUUCUGACGUCACCACAUAAAACCCAUUUUUAAACACUUUUGAAAUCCUGUAUUUUUUUUUUUUAAAGAUAAUGAAUCCAAAUAAUUUAAAACUUGAAAACAUUUAAUAAAAGAUUUGAAAGACGUUAAAUAAAAGAUUUAAAAGAGAACAUCUUCACCCCCAAAACAACAGGAUCGCUUCCAGGUUACAGUAUUGAAAUUAGAAUCAACCACUAUUAUUACACAACAUCUCUUACCAAAUCAGAUCAUCUUCGAUAAGAAGAAUCACUGUCAACUAUUCCAGCUAUGACUUACACUUGAAUCUCUAUAGCACAGCUCUAGCUUGCACCAACCUCAUCAACUUUCCUGAACACUCCUCGACCACUGGAUCCUCAACUCUGUCUCCUCGCCUAGCAUUAGCCUUAUUCACAAUCUCAAUCAAUCAUCUCAUCUUUAAGCCUUUCUGAAAUGGUUAGAAAGGAAUAGCAAGGGUGAGCAACAAUGCUCAGCAAGUAAUAAUAAACAAUGAUAGUUCUGAAAUGAUAUAAUAGAAGUUCACGAGUUCAAGAUAUAAGAGGAUUCAACCUGAGUUCAUGAGUUCAUGGUAUUGUAUAGAAUGAUUUACAAUACCUUGCAGCAUUUAAACUGAGAAAUUCAAUCUUUCCAAAGAAUUAUUGAAUUGGACUAUCACAUUUUAAUUAAAACCAAGGUUAGGCAGCUGAUCAGUUCCGCACUAACCCCGAGCAGGCCCCGCCAUGCUCUAUCACUGGAUCCAAGGCACUCAUUGGCCUAACAUGACCACGAAUCUGGUCCACAGGUUUAUAUAAAAACAAUAAUCCAAUUCUCUAAUUCAAUUCAAGAAGCCAAUGUAAAUUAACAGAACAUCAUCAUAAAUAUCAUCAACAACAGAAUAAUUCCAAUUCAAACUUUGAUAAUAAUCUAUUCAUAAAUCAUGAUCCAUCAUUUCAUAAAUCACAGUUCAGGAAAUCCUCAACUAUUCAGUAUCCUCCAUUAUCGGCUAAGCAACUGAAUUUAGCCUGCUAAACCAGCAUGACAAUGGCGGGUUGAAUAAUCAAGAAGAUCCCAAUUCAUUCAAAGCUCUAACUAUCACUGAGCAACACAUGCUUCAAUGACAAUCUGAACUUCGAAUUAAUUUGUAAAACGGAAAUUCUUUAGAAACUUGAAGAUUAGAAAGAAUGGGUCAGAAUACUCGCACUUUCGAACAUUGAAAAGAAAGGUAUGAAUACUUGAAACAUAUACCAAAGGAAUGGAUCAGAAUAUUUGCAAUAUAUCCAAGAGAAAGGUUUAGGAUACUUGCCUUAAAUCUGACUCCAGUCUCACAUCUCAAUCUCAUCUUUCCACUUUCACAAUCUAUGCAUCUCAUAGUCUCUAGACCAUCUCUGGCUAUACUCUAUCUACCGUACAUCUUCGCUUCGCUUACUCGAUUCAUCCCUUAUUCGCUUUGUAACACCACGUGACUUUCUGAACGUCUUCGGGCAUACACGUCUCGUCCAAAUCCUUUACGAGAAUAAGAUAACACUAUAAUCACUAAACAAUCGAUCGCAUAUACAUCUCACGUAUAUCGAUACCCACUUAUAUAUCCCUUUAAACUUAUCAGAUACCACGUAACACAUAAGCAUGCUUUGACUCUAACAUAUAGUCAAUCAUAUUCCACAUAACAUAUCACCAAUCAAUUAUCAUAUAAAUCCUUAUCGAAAAUCCGACAUCGUCUCGUCUAUGUAUAAGACUAUCCACCUAUUAUCCUAUCUCAAUCAUUAAUCAACCAACAAAAUCCAAUAGCUAUAAUCCAUAUAUUCUUAUCCAAUAUCAAUCAUACGAAUCAUUUAUCACUUCACAAUAUCAAAACUAACACGUACUUCACAUAAUCAUCACCUGAUAGCACUUAGAUCACAUAUUAUCACAUUAUGCAUACUUAUCAACAAUUAUUCACCUUAUAGACUCAGCCAUAUAGUCACAUCAUAUUAAAAUAGACGUUAUAAGCUUCUGUCUCUCUUUCGUUUCACUUGAUUCCGACUUACGGAUCAAAAGUUAUGCUCAAAACAGUUUUCUCACUCUCCUAUCGGCACAUAACACAUCCAACCAAUAGCAGACAACACACAACACAUAAGGUUUCCCAUCCCAAUUGAUAUUAAAUCAAGUCUUGGGUUAAAAAUGAUUUUUCGGGAAUUUUCUGGAAUUUUUAAACAUUUUUCGGAAUUAAAAUCGAUAAAAGAAUCACUUUUCGAAUAAAUAAUCAAGUCCCAAAUACUUGAAAUUGGACUUGAAAUCAUUCAUAAACAAUUAUCGAGCCUUGAAAAUAAUUUGGAAAAAUAUUUUAAAGCUCGAAACUAUUUUUCGGAAUUUUUAAAUCAAAAAGGAUUAAUUAAAUCCAAUUAAUUAAUCAAUUAAAAUCAAUUAAUAAUUAAUUAAAAUAAUUAAUCAAUUAAUAUUUAAAUUAAUUGACCAAUUAAAAUAAUUAAUUACUAAUUAAAAUUAAUUAAUAAACUAAUUUAGAUUUAUUUUUGAAUAAAGAAAUAAUUAAAAACUAUUUUUGGAAUUUAAAAUAAUUAAAUAAAACAAUUUUAGAAAAUUAAAUCAAAAGGUUUAUUUUGUAAACUUUUGAAAGUUUUGUCCAGGGUUUAAAGUGCAACUUUUCAAAGUUACAGGGGGUAAUUCAUAAGUUUCAGAACCUGAGUACAAAAACUUCAUCAUCUUCAAAACUUCGGUGACCAAACAGCAAUAAGCCGCCGGCCACCACACUAACUCGCCGGAAAUUCGUUUCCAGGCGUCCUCCACUCACCAUCUACUCCAGAUAAGUAGUACACACACCCAUAAAUCAAUCCCCCAUCUUUAAUUAGGCAGAAGUCGCGCGAAUUCGCCGGAAAAUCCGGCCGAAGUCGGCGACUUCCCGCCGCCGAUGGCGGCGAUUCGAGCCACCUCCGCUCAAACCAAGCACACCAGCAUACUCCCCUUUCUCUCCUCUUUCUAUUCAUAUAUACCACUACUNUUCCACUACUUCCCAGACUUAACGGAUCAAAAUUCCGGCGAAGAGCUUGAGUUUUCCGGCGAGGAACCUCAAGAACACCAAGAACACUCAACUCAAGAAUUAAACCACUGUUUCUAUAUGAUUCCGAACCCCAAAUUCAACAUAUAAUAUACCAAAACGACGAGAAAAGCACGUACUACAACAUGGUAUCAUCAAAAUCAUCAAACAAUCACGUUUGCAAAAAUUCACUAUUUAAAUCAUAAUAAUUCGAAUUUUAAAGCUCCAAUUAUUCCCUACCUGUGAAUCUCAUGUUGUUUUUGAUGAUUGAUUUGGGUUCUACUCUUCGAUAUCUUCGAUUUGACUAUUUGCACGCUUGAUUCUGACUCCAAUAACACCUUCAAAUCUUCAUUUGAUUAUGAAGAACGCGAAGAACACCGCUCGGUUUCUCUCGGUAUUCGUGCAGAGAAACUGGUGAAAUGAUUUUACGGUGGAAAAUAAGGUGUAGAAAGGUUUAUUUAUAUUUACAAAUAAUUGGUACCCCUUUGGAUCGUAUAUGACAUGAAAAUACGUAUUUAAUAGGCGAAGAACACCGCUCGGUUUCUCUCGGUAUUCGUGCAGAGAAACUGGUGAAAUGAUUUUACGGUGGAAAAUAAGGUGUAGAAAGGUUUAUUUAUAUUUACAAAUAAUUGGUACCCCUUUGGAUCGUAUAUGACAUGAAAAUACGUAUUUAAUAGCUUUAUAUUAAUAAAGCGGGAUCCAAUCGGUACCGGUUUUCGAGAUAAUCAUCAAAACGGGGCUUUUUAACUCAAUUAUUGGUCUGCGGGUCCCAUUGCAAUUAUUACAAGAUAAGGAUGAAUAUAAUAAUCAAAAUAUCUCGUUUCACGCUUAUCGAGACAAACUGGAUAAUUAUCAACAAUUAAAAUACCCGAAAAACUCCGCCGGACCGACUCCGGGGAAAACCGUACUCCGGAUCGAAAAAGUCAAAACACGAAAAAUGUCCGGAAUAUUGAAAUUAGGUUAAAGGUAAGUUUUGUUGAAACUUCCGGAAAGAAAAUUUGCUACCUCGUUACGAGUGGACGGUUUUACGGAAGUCAAAUAAUUAAUAUAUAAAUAUAAAUAUACGCAAUUAAAUCCGUAAAUCGAUUAUAAAAUCAUCUAACAUUCCAUAAAUCGAUAUGAAAAUAUCUAAAUAAAUUAUAUUUUAUCCUGAUCAUAUAGAAAUUGAAAUAUCUCAAAUCCGAACACAUAUGAGCAGUUAACGCAAUAAACCAGAUAAUAUAUAAAAUUCACAAAAAUUCAUAUAUUAAUCAUAUAAUACUCAUAAUUAACCAUAAUUAAUUAACCAACAAAUCCACCAAUACCACUUACUCACAUCACACAUAUAUUCACAUAAUA
rnacentral:lncRNA from 1 species